UACGAAUGGGGCAAGCGUUGUUCGGAAUCACUGGGCUUAAAGCGUACGUAGGCGGAAUUGAAAGUCAGAAGUGAAAGCCCAGGGCUCAACCCUGGAACUGCUUUUGAAACUCCAAUUCUCGAGUCCCGGAGAGGUUAGCAGAAUUCCGAGUGUAGAGGUGAAAUUCGCAGAUAUUCGGAGGAAUACCAGUGGCGAAGGCGGCUAACUGGACGGGUACUGACGCUGAGGUACGAAAGCGUGGGGAGCAAACAGG
rnacentral:misc_RNA from 1 species